AACGCGAAGAACCUUACCUGGGCUCGAAAUGUAGUGGAAUACGGUGGAAACAUCGUCGUCUCGCAAGAGACUGCUAUAUAGGUGCUGCAUGGCUGUCGUCAGCUCGUGUCGUGAGAUGUUGGGUUAAGUCCCGCAACGAGCGCAACCCUUAUCCCUAGUUGCCAUCGGGUCAAGCCGGGCACUCUAGUGAAACCGCUCAGGAUAACUGGGAGGAAGGUGGGGAUGACGUCAAGUCCUCAUGGCCUUUAUGUCCAGGGCUACACACGUGCUACAAUGGUCGGUACAAACCGUCGCAAACCCGCGAGGGGGAGCUAAUCGGAAAAAGCCGGCCUCAGUUCGGAUUGCAGGCUGCAACUCGCCUGCAUGAAGCUGGAAUCGCUAGUAAUGCUAUAUCAGAACGAUAGCGUGAAUACGUUCCCGGGCCUUGUACACACCGGUACUA
rnacentral:rRNA from 1 species